GCCAGGUCUGUUUUGAGGACCUUCAGAGGGUCCUGACAGGCUGGUACGCCCUCCUAUAUACUCAUACCCGGUGGGAGAACAAGUGGGAGAGAAAGACAAGAGGAAGAAAGAAGGUCUUCUUUGGUUCUCGGUUUGAGUUCAGAGUCACCACCUCUAACCUCCUGGAUUUCGCUUUGAUAAUGUUGGAUGCCUCUAGCUAUGUCUUAGCCAUUUGUUAGCUAAAACCUUCACUGAGAUACACAAACACUUCAAAAUUUGUGAGCUACAUGUAUAUUUAUGGAUUUCUGAGAUUGCUCAAGGACCGAUUGAUGGAUGGAUGGAUAAGAUGACUGCUGGUGCAAAAUCCAAAAUCAUUUCUGGUUUUCAGUACUCUUUCCUGCCACACUGUAUUCUGCAGAAUGUAUCACACUUUUUUUAAAAGGUAUUUGCAGUUGUACUUUUUAUUAACUUCCAACACUUUUACGCUGUGCAGAGGUAUAAGCACAGUUUGACCAUCUUGAUAUAUUUGUUAUGAAAGCAGUCCUGUGUUUUCACUUCCAGAAGCUCAUCACCAGGAACUGCAAAGAUGGUUCUUAGAUUUGUCAUCCUGCGAUGUGGCAGACAAUAUAUUACUGCUGUCACUCAUCAAGCUACUGCAAAAGUACACGGCACAUUUUUGUGGAAUGCUUUUUCCUGUUGUAAAUUAUUAACCAUUAUAACAUGAAUCAGUGGGUGUUGACCUCGGGACUGAUUCAUACUUUUAAAAUGUGCAGGGGGAAAAUAUUUAUCUGCUCGUUCAGUAACACUGCUGGUUGGAGGUGAUUUUUCUCAUUAAACUGUGUUAGCUGCACAGGCUAAUCUCAAUAUUAAUUCAUUAAUAGGUUGAUUUUAGGAUUGAAAUGGAGAGCAAUUACAUAACUAAAACUGGCAUUCUUGAAUAGUAAUUAAUCAAUUAGCCUUAAUAUUAAUGCCAGUAAAUUGUCGUGGGUUUGAUGCAUGACAUGAAAAACCUGAUUUGUUUUCACAGCAGUUUGACUCGGUGUCAAUACUGCCCGUCCGUAAAUAAAUGUAAAUGAACUGAUAUUUCAACUAUGUCAAAAGGAAUUACAAGGAUAUGCACUGUCCAUUUAAUCUCAGCUGUGGCGAAUAUAACUGGAUCUAUAAUAAAAAAUCUGUGUGUGCA